CAAUUUGACGUUAACGAGCGUACACUCAUUUAACAUGACCCACAUAUUUGUGAUAUUCUCAGUUGUGAUCCUGUGCAUCCCAGGUUCUGUGGGGAUCAUCACAGUAGAUCAGUCUCCUGCUGUCAUCAAUGCCCAGCCUCAGGACACUGUGAAGAUUAUGUGUAAAGCUUCUCAAGUCAUUAACCGAGAUAUGGAGCUGUUUCAACUCAAACCAGGGCAACCACCCAAACUCCUCAUUUACAGUAGUGAAUACACAUAUUCUGGCACCCCGAGUCGUUUCAGUGGCUCCUACUCUGGGACUGACCACACCUUCACCAUCAGUGGCGUCCAGAUAGAGGAUGAGGCCGUGUACUACUGCCAGCAGAGUGAAGAGUUCCCGUUCAUGUUUGGUCAAGGAACCAAACUGAUUGUCAAAAGUCGUGAGGUCUCGUCUCCCGAAGUCAAGAUCCUUCGCCCGACCCAAAGGGAUGAUGCCUCUCCCGGCGUUCCUGCCUCACUGGUUUGUGUGGUCAGCAAGUUCUACCCUGACCAAGUGACGGUGAACUGGUUGGUGGACGGACAGGGGGGCAAAGGGGACAAAAAGGACAGUCAGUCGGUGCGUGCGUCUGACAAGACCUACGGCAUGAGCAGCACUCUGUGGCUCCAGCCGGCUGACUGGGAGGCGGCCAAGACCUUCAGCUGCCAGGUCCAGCACGAGAGCAGGAAGGACCCCACCGUCGCCACGCUGGACAAGAGUCAGUGCAACUAGCUGCGGGAGUCCACACACACACACACACACACACACACACACAAACACACACACACACACACACAACCUGUUUCGAAACAUGCAGAUGCUAACGCUCAUUCUUUUACUUCCUCUUUUCGGCUCAGUUUUGCGAAUGUGUUUGCAUUUGCUGCUUCAAAUUAUCAAUCUGAAGAAGUAAUCUAAAGUCAGAGUCCACUGUAUGUUUGUUGAACCACUAUGUGAAUCGCUUCAAAAUCAAAAAAAGUUAAAGUAAAAGUAAAGUCAGUCAAACUUCCUCAGUAAAAAUGUGUUAUGUGCUUUCAGCUACAGUGUCAUGUCUACUGCCUUUUCACUUUUGCCUAAAAAGAAUAAACAUAUUUGUUUUGAAUCCUU